rnacentral:tRNA from 1 species
AGUAGUAUAGCUCAGUUGGUAGAGUAAUUGCCUAACAUUCAGGUAAGCCCUAGGUUCAAUUCCCAAUACUGCCU